CAAGCAGCAUAAGAGGUGGACUGUGGUAUAUAUGGUGAUCUACUACUCUGCUCUCCGUUUGGGGAAGAAGACUUUGUUGCUCCUGCUGCUGUAUACGAGGGUAUAUGUUACCCUCAGUGAAGGAAGCACUGAUUUUAGAGAUCAAGGAAAAAACCAAGAGGUAAAUAAUUCAACUGGUAAUAGAAGAUUCAUCCUGGUGAAAUCCAAUAUUGAUGAUUAAUGAGAGUAAGAGCACUCGAUUCCGCAGAAAGUAAGGAGUGAAAAAAGUUAAUUGGAUAUAGAUGACCUUCUACUCUUAUGUUCUUCAACAAGUGAGCCUUUGUCAACCUGCCACUUCCACAAUGACAGAACUUCUGAAUCAAGUGAGAGCAGUGAUGUGAGUGAGUGUGUGGAAUGUUCACCACAGUGGGCUUCUAAAGAGGAGGGCAGUGACGUGAAUGUGUGUGUGGAAUGUUCCCCACAGCGGAUUUUUAACGAAAGCUCAGACUUUCCUGCAUAUAUCCUCCCCACCUGCCAAAUCCGUGUGAAUGUAAUUAACUUGUCUAUAUUUGAGGUUUAGUAAUUGUGUAAAGUUUUUUGAGCAGUGAAUAAUCUGCAAAUUCGGGUUUGUGUCUGUAGUUAUACAGUUCUUCUCUCUGGUUUAAUUCUAUCCUAACCAUCAGAUGUAGGGUCUCUGAGAAAUCUAUGCUUCUUUUCCUUUUGAAUUUUCUUUUCUAUUUUUACUAGGAAGUGCUCCGUGUUUAUUUGCUAUGGCUUCCCAAGGAGCCUCCUGGGUAACCCCUGGAAGCCUCAGGGAAUUGGGCUUCCAAGUCUUGUUCACUAAAGGAAAUGUUUUUGAAGAUGUUUUUAAAGAAUAUGACCUCACUUCAUUAUCACAUUAAUAUUCUUAUUGGGUGAAUAUUCAUUUCCUAAAUAUAAUUUCUUCUUCCUGAUUUGAACAUUCUUUUCUUUCAUUUUUUACUUUUUUUCUAGUAUUAUGCUUGCUUCCAGCUAAAAUACAU
rnacentral:lncRNA from 1 species